UACGUAGGGUGCGAGCGUUGUCCGGAAUUACUGGGCGUAAAGAGCUCGUAGGUGGUUUGUCGCGUUGUUCGUGAAAACUCACAGCUUAACUGUGGGCGUGCGGGCGAUACGGGCAGACUGGAGUACUGCAGGGGAGACUGGAAUUCCUGGUGUAGCGGUGGAAUGCGCAGAUAUCAGGAGGAACACCGGUGGCGAAGGCGGGUCUCUGGGCAGUAACUGACGCUGAGGAGCGAAAGCGUGGGGAGCGAACAGGAUUAGAAACCCUCGUAGUCC
rnacentral:rRNA from 1 species